AAACAAAAAACUCAUCACUGACACAGCCCAUCUUUUUUUUUAAUUGAUCACAUGUAUUUAUGUGUGUCGUCAGUCCCUGUGACGUGUUGUUCACACAGGGUUUUAGAAUACUCUCGGCCUCACUCCAUUGGCUCUGGCAGCACCACCUCCACCACUCUCAGCCAAUCAUCUUCCUCUUCUGGCCGUGGUUCACUGCCCCCUGCUGGUUACCCUUGCAACCAGUCACAGGGGGCAGACAAAAAUCUGGCCAUAUGUUCCUCGUCUCCUGAGGCUGUGACAGACAAUGAACUCAACAACCAUCAUCUUCAUCAGCAUCAUCUUCAUCGUAAUUGUGAGCCGUGGAAAACUCAGCAUCCUCUAAUGAGCAGCACAGAGUCAUCUGGUCAAUGCAUGACUGUCUUCAGCGGUUCAGAACGUAGCUGCCUGUCUGGCAUCAGUGGAGAGGUAGUGGAUGACUCUUCAGAUGUGUCUCAGAAUUCAUUGCCCCAUCCACCAAUUUGUCGGACCCCUAGCCUGAUGACAAACAGCUCACCGGCAGUCACUAGAAAAAAGCCAGGCAUCGCCCCCAGACCUCCACACCUGGGUAAUGUUCAGCUGCAGGUGAAGAAGGAUGAUGAGAUUAUAAUUGGAAAGUCAACAGAAGUUUAAUCCCUGCAGAAGGUAAGCACAUGCUGCACAGACCUGCUCUGACUGAUCACCCUGCAGACAAACAAAUGAUCAAUUAUCUCAUUGAAUGAUACAUUCACAGGACAUGUUCUUUAAAUAUUUGAACCAUUUUGGAUUUGGUGAACAUAUUAUAUAAAAUCCUUUAAUGUCAUAAAGACAUUGAUCAUGGAAAAAGACUCACCUAUAAGAAAAACAGACUGUGGAUGCUGACAUCAUUUACAUCCCCAGUGCAACCACAAGUAGUUAGAGCCGUAACACUUUAAGAACUUUUUAUUUGUUUGUCCUCUGAGACUGAGCUCAGAAUAAGAGUGGGUAUUUUUUAUCUGCUGCUACACAAUCAUUACUAAAACUGAUGAACCAUAGGUGGAUGUUGCCAUGAGUAGCAUCUGUGUCAUUCUGCAAUAACAGAGUAAUGUGUGGUUGAGGGAUACAUUUAUCCAUAUGCCCUGUGCAUCCUGUGCAGUUGUUGGUAAGGAUAUCAAUUAACACGUUUAAAACUUUUACCUGUAUGGGUACACUUACAAUAGAACUACAAUGAUCUACAUGAAGGGAUGGCCACUAGCUUUUAGGUGUGUUUUCAUAUUUACUGCAUUUAAUGAGACGAGAUGUUGAAUAACUGAGUUGUACACACAGUCUGCAUGGACGUUAUAUAUCUACAAGCUGCCAGGCAAAAACCACGUAUUGUUAUUUAGGGUCCACUAAUGUUUGACCAGCUUUAAAAUGAAUAAAUCAAUAUUCAGGUUUUGUAAGUUUCA
rnacentral:lncRNA from 1 species